CAAACAGUGGAGUGCUGACCAUGCAGUCCAGAAGGUGGCUGAAGCAAGUAUGCUAUAGGAGGUGCUUAUUCAGGCAGAAGAAAUAAGCAUCUGUAGCCAACGUAAAGGAAGCAUCUUCAAAAAGCAGUGCUACAAGGAUGUGAGCAGCAGUUUCCCUUCAACGAACGGGUCAAAUUCAUGGAAGCCACGUGCCUGCUGUUUCUGGCCUACACAAACAUGCAGCCACCAUAGUAAAGUUCUUGCAAAGACAUUCUACACGAACUUGCCCAAAGGCGGAAGGAAGGCACGCACAGAUGGACGCACAGAAAUCAUGGGGCUGCCGUAGAAGCUGUGAAUGAGCAUUAACCUACGUACAGAAAGGAGCGAAGUGGAGCUGUCCAUGGGCCGUGCACACAGUUUCAUAAGCAGGCUUGCAACACUUUUGACAAAUAUGUUCCUGAAUACAUCUGCCAAAGUGGCAUUUAAAGAAGCA